CCAAAAUCCGGAUGAAGCCCCAAGUCUGGGGAUUUGGGAAGCAAGGAUUCCAGUGCCAAGUUUCCUUUCCUCUGCCUGGAAUUCCUUCUACCAUCGUCAUUCUGCUGAGCCAGGAGCAGUUCUGCUGCUGAGGACUGAUCUGUACAGAGCCAGCUGAAGUUCUGGAGUCAGUCUUGUUUCCCCGGCAGAUGCUAUUCAUGGAUACAACCAAGAGUAAAAGCAGUAGGGCAGCUCUGUUUGUUCUUAAGUGCCUCAGAAGUGACUCUUUUUAGGAAUCUACACAUGGUCAAACUUGACUUUUGUCUCUAUCAGAGCGAGAACCUACACUUUUUCUUUGGAGACUGCUGUAUCCAGUGGUUUUGUCUGUUUUCUUGGUCAAAAUCUCUGAG